rnacentral:rRNA from 1 species
UGAGGAAUAUUGGGCAAUGGGCGAAAGCCUGACCCAGCAACGCCGCGUGGAGGAAGACGGCCUUCGGGUUGUAAACUCCUUUUGACGGGGAAGAGAGAGGACGGUACCCGUCGAAUAAGUCACGGCUAACUACGUGCCAGCAGCCGCGGUAAUACGUAGGUGACAAGCGUUAUCCGGAAUUACUGGGCGUAAAGCGCACGCAGGCGGCUGAUUAAGUCUGACGUGAAAUCUCCCGGCUUAACUGGGAGGGGUCGUUGGAAACUGAUUGGCUUGAGGUGGUGAGAGGGGUGUGGAAUUCCCGGUGUAGUGGUGGAAUGCGUAGAUAUCGGGAGGAACACCAGAGGCGAAAGCGGCACCCUGGCACUGACCUGACGCUCAUGUGCGAAAGCGUGGGGAGCAA